rnacentral:lncRNA from 10 species
GGCGGGAAAAGAUCUUAACCCGUGAUUGCUGGGACUGGCUCAAGCUCCACCAGGAGCCGUCGUUCUUUUACAAAGAGGGGUGGAGGUUCCAGUGGAGGCUGUUGUUGCCUUUUUUUUUUUUUUUUUAAUGAAUGGAGGGCGGCGGCGACUGCUGCAGCUGGGCCAGCUGCGCGGGCUGCACCCCCUCCCAGCCUGCGAGAGGAGGAAGCUAGUAGAAGAUUUGUACCAACAAAACCAAGGAGUAAACAACUUGAGAAUAACUGCAUGAGCUCAGGGCUUGGACUGUCAGAUUCCAUUUCUAAGCUUCCAGAAGAGCGACACAUAGACACUGGGGAAGUCAGAGCCUUUGAACUCCAAUGCCAUCCCCGUCACCCACCUCCACCACCAGCACCACCACCGAAUGGCACUUUGGACAAUUUUUCCCUCUCAUGUGACUUUUGUCAUUUCUUACGUCAGUUGGAGCCAGCACCUCUCAAAUCCAUCUUCUAAAACCCAGAAAAUUGUGUGUAACACAUGAUGACUGAAAGGGAGUAGGCUGACCAGUUAAGAGCCUGCCACUGGAAUGGAAGGCUGUGGGAAGGUGAGGGGACGGUGGACAUCAACCGGGAAGAGCUGAAAGAUGGCGUUACCAGAACAACUUCCAGUAAAAGAAGGCACUGAGGUUUAAGUGCUACGUGGGAGCAGUUGCCGAUUUUUGCAAUGGGAGGCUGCAUAGAUUCAAGGUGGAACCAUCUAGUUGCAGGAAAACAAGCUCAGGGCUCCUGUUGAUUCUAUAUUAUGGACUUCCUUGAGUGCUCCAGGAGCUUGUCAUUCCAGAGACAGAGCAGCCCAGAAGUCCUGGGAUUUACACCUCUAGUAGAAACCCUCAACCAGAGAAGGAUGGAAGUCAAUGG